GCGCGUGGCGCGAGCCUCGGUCCCCCGGGACGGAGCGUUCCAGACGCUUCCCCGCGCCGCCGGGCGGGGCGGCCGGCUGGCGCUGCGCCGCCCCGUGCCCGCCGUGGCACAGAGGAGGGAGAGCUGCUCCCGCGAGGGUGUUAAUCCGUCGGGCCCUUCGCCCAGAGCGGGCUGCAAAACCGCUCUGGCGGGUUUAAUACCGACGGGAAGCUCUUACGGCGCUCCGCUCGCAGAUUACCCUGUGUGUUUUAAGUCGGGAUAGAAGCUGUGAUUCUGGUGUGGCAGAUGGGAGCUCAGCCCGUAGGCCAGAGGCGGUGUGAGAACCAGCGGGGCUCGCUCGGCCUCGCGCCCUCGCUGCUGGGAAGCGCCUCCCGGGCACGGGGGUCCCGGCAGGCCGGCGGCAGGAGGCGCGGCCGGCGGUGGGAAGCGCCGCUGGAAUCGCUGCCGUGCCUCGGGGAUAGCGGAAUCGCCGGCGCUCCCUGGCUGGACCCCGGCAACCCGGGAAACACCUCAAUUUCUUCAAAAAGUCUCAUGACUAUGAAAGAUUAGUUAAUUUCUCUCCUAUGUCCCAAGUUUCAGUCAAUAGCAGCGUCAGGACGUGGUUGUUUCCAUGGUCUCAGCACACAUGGAGCCCUCUGCUGCUGGCAAAUAGCACCUAAGGAACACUGCUCUUCUGCCAGACUGGGGCACUGACCUGUGCUAGAGGGGAACCUUUCUGCUGUGGACAUUUCUGUGCUGAUGUGCUAGAAGAGGGAUACAGGAUUUUUACUAGGAAAUCUAUUUGUGAUGCUCUAGCACACUGUCAAAACUGAAAGACUUUGCAGUGGAUUCUUCAUAUUUGUUCAACAUCCUUGGCUUUUUAUCUUUAUAAAAAAAUACUCUCAAUUCAUUAUGAGGAUUUAACACAGACCUUUUCACCAUUCAUGGAAAUGAGCACUUGAUAUACAAAGUGGGAUAAGAUAAAGGUUUCUAGUUAAAUAUUCUUGGGCUAGAUCUUGUCUAUAUGCUUUUGUGAUAAUGACAAUUAUUUUCCAUUUUCAGCUCCAAAACCAGUUUCUGUAGUUUGAAGAGAAGGUCAUUUUAGUUUCUUUCUGGAACCUUGCUUGUAUGUAUUGGCCCUGGAUUAGUCAGAGGGAUUAGAACACUACUACUGAAACUUCACAAAUGCAACCUAUGUGAAGCCCUUUUUCAGUUGUUUUUUGGAAAUAUUUGCUGAAUUUCUCGUAUUGCUUCUGUCUGUUCAAUAAAAGAAUUGUCUCCAUAAUACCCA
rnacentral:lncRNA from 1 species